UCGCGGCCCGAGCUGGGGCGUUGGGAGCCGCGCGGUGCCGUCCGCCUGAGGCCGGCAGGCACCGCGGCGGGCGCCGGGGCCCUGGCGCUGCAGGAGCCGGGCCUGUGGCUCGGGGAGGUGGAGCUGGCGGCCGAGGAGGCGGCGCAGGACGGGGCGGAGCCGGGCCGCGUGGACACGUUCUGGUACAAGUUCCUGAAGCGGGAGCCGGGAGGAGAGCUCUCCUGGGAAGGUAUUGCCAGCAGACGCCUGCCCCCGGCGCAGAGCGGGAGCUCCGGCCCGCACCCCCAACCGGGGCCUCGGCCUCGGGCAGGCCCCCGGUGGCGCGCGUCCCGGGCAUUUUGCCCGCGUCCCUGCGCACUCCCCGGGCGACCUGGGCUGACCCUGCUCUGCCGGCCACGCUGUCGCCGCCAGCCGCGCCUCCGGCUUCCUACUGAUUCCCUAGACCCGUAUAGCGCUCCCGGCCGCCUUUCCGCCCACUCUGUUGCCUGCCCCUCUGACCUGGUUUCCGCACACCCAGUCCUCAGCUUCUUUCCAACCGCGCCUGCGUCACGGGCCAGUGCCCUUCGUCUCCCGCCCGGGGCCCCCUUCGCCCUCCGAGUGCCCCUCGACCUCCGAGUCCCCUCUUCGCGGGUCCCUUGGCUGCCCGGCCGCGCGCCGCUGAUGGCUUCAACAGCCCAGCUCCGCCUUAGUUGGGUUUUGUGUCCUCAUUUUCCUGCUCUAAUUCACUAAAAAAAACCCCAAACGACCCAACCAACGAAACUAGCGUUUUCGCUAAUCCUAGACAGCAACGUGCUACUUAGAUUUUUUUUCAUAGAUAUUGAGAAUGAACUAAUGGAAAGAC
rnacentral:sRNA from 1 species